AACUCCGAGAGCAGCAGAGGUGAGCCCUGCUCCAGCUGCUGCUGGUGUGGCUGAAGAGGAUGUGGCCCAGGAUCUUCCCCGUGCCCCAACACCUCAUGCCGCAGCUGCGAGAUGGGGGCAACCGGCAGGCCAAGGCGCUGGAGUUACUAGCCGCAAACACCAGGCGGCAGGGCCAGAUAUCAUUGGAAAGCUGCCGACUGCCAGG